GCCCUCUUGGCUUAGUGGUAAAGCGUAUCACUAGUAACCAACUCCUUCUAGGAGACCUGACUUGCAAAUGAUAAGAUCGCUAGUUCGAUUCUGGCAGAGGGCA